rnacentral:rRNA from 1 species
AUGGACAUUCUAAGUACUAAGCUCCAACGCACCGCCAAAGCACUUCGGAGGUGGGGCCAGAGGAAACAGAGUGCCAUGAAUUUGCAGUUUCAAGCAGCUAACGAGAUCAUUCUUCAUCUGGAUACAGCACAUGAGGCAAGAACCCUAUCUGCUCAGGAGAGAAAACUCAAGGGCUUUUUAAAAGGUAAAUGCCGGGCUCUGGCAUCCUUGGAGAGAGUUCGACUGAGACAAAGAGCAAAGAUUAGAGAUCUUUGGGAAGGAGAUGCUAACUUGAAAUACUUUCAUCUCAAAGCUAAUGGGCGCAGAAGGAAACAUCUCAUACCCUACCUGCAGUUUGGAGAACGCAUGGCAUCCUCCAUGGAAGAGAAGUUAAAUCUGGCAUAUGAUUUCUUUAGGGAUUCGAUCGGGGUCCCAACGGCUAGGCACAAGGCUUUGGAGGCCCCUUUCUCUAGAGAGGAGAUCAAGAAGGUCAGAGGUUUUGGCAACAAAUGGUGUUCUUGGAUCCGUGGUCUUCUGAGCUCGACCUCCUCCUCGGUUCUCAUCAAUGGGGAAACCAGUACGCCUUUCACCCUGGGUAAGGGAGUAAGGCAGGGUGACCCUCUAUCGUCGGCACUCUUCAUCUUAGCCAUAGAUGCAUUGCAAGCAAUGCUCAAUUGGGCUACGAGUCAAAAUCUGCUGGCUAAGCUUGGUGUAGACAGUAGGACACCGAGGGCCUCUAUCUUUGACAAUGAGGCGGUUAUAUUUUUCGCGCCAGUGGCGUCUGAUCUCCAGGUCAUCUCUGCAAUUCUUGAGAGACAUGACAUUCUACCUCCGAUUGUCAAGUACUCCAGCAAGAUGAAAGGGUGGAAGCCCAAGCUGUUGGCUCCAACAGGCAGAGUAACCCUGACGAGCUUGGUUUUAAUGGAUCUACCAAUUCACUUUCUGUCAGUUAUCCCAUUACCGACUUGGGCGCUCAAGAUUAUUGACAGUAUAUAUAGAGGCUUUGUGUGGAAAAGCGAGGAGGAAAUCAAUGGGGGCCACUACCUGGUCCCAUGGGCCCGAUGGCUGAGAUGGGAUCUUGAGCAACGACUUUGGAAACUCCUUCCUGACCAGCAAGACAAGGAAGCCUCCGCUUUGUUUGCGGCUGCGAGUCGGGUGGUACUGGGGAGCGGCAACACUGCUAGGUUCUGGACGGAUAUCUAG